rnacentral:rRNA from 1 species
GUUGAAACACCAGUUCCCGUACGAUCAUCGAAGUUAAGCAAAGUCGAGCCUGAUCAGUACCUAGAUGGGUGACCGCUUGGGAAUACCAGGUACAGUA